GAUAAACGCUAGCGGCAGGCUUAACACAUGCAAGUCGAGGGGCAGCAUAGAUUGUAGCAAUACAAUUGGUGGCGACCGGCGCACGGGUGCGUAACGCGUAUGCAACCUACCCGUCACAGGGGGAUAAUCCGGAGAAAUCUGGUCUAAUACCCCAUAACAUAUGGAUCGGCAUCGGUUCAUGUUGAAAUUUUCGGAGGUGACGGAUGGGCAUGCGUAGCAUUAGCUUGUUGGUGAGGUAACGGCUCACCAAGGCGACGAUGCUUAGGGGGACUGAGAGGUUUUCCCCCCUCACUUGUACUGAGACACGGACCAGACUCCGACGGGAGGCAGCAGUGAGGAAUAUUGGUCAAUGGGCGCAAGCCUGAACCAGCCAUGCCGCGUGCAGGAUGACGGCGCUAUGAGUUGUAGACUGCUUUUGUACGAGGGUAAAGUGGGUUACGUGUAACCUUUUGAAAGUAUCGUACGAAUAAGGAUCGGCUGACUCCGUGCCAGCCGCCGCCGUAA
rnacentral:rRNA from 1 species